UGUCUACGGGGGUUCUCCUGAACGUCGCCUCAACCUACAUGGGAAUGAUGGGAAGUACAGGCUUCGGAUUGACUUCUGUCUUGAAACUGGUGGCGUUUGCAUGCGGCGCAGUAAACGAAGCUGUAUUAAAACAUUUUCGUGCAAAAAUUAAUUUUAUUUAUGUUGUGUUUUAUAUAAUGCAUAAUACAUUGAAUAAAGUUUGCAUGACUUUGAGAUUGAAGCAUGGUUUACCACCAGGGUAUGCAUUGUUCUGCCUGAUUUAGCGCCAUUGAAUAAUUAUUUAUUUACUUUCACAACAGCAAUAACAACCGUGCAUGUGCUUAUAUAAAAAUACUCAUCAAAUAUUUAUGGAAAUAAAAAUUUUGUAUUAUGAGAAAAGUGUUGCGCCUUUGAGAGAAAUGUUACAAGUGUCGUCUGCUACGACGCCUGCUCGCUGCGAACGCGGGGAAAGUGAACUUUUCUCGCAGACGGUACGCACUUGCGAACUCUCUCGCUCUUUCGAAAGGCUGCAUCGGCUGUCACGAUUGAUGAACGCCUUCGAGUACUUUUAAACACAUCUGCUGCAGUGCUAUCUUAGACGCUUGUGGCCUCUUACGAGCAUGCUUUACUAUAUUUUAUGUUGACGUACCGCUUCUUCUGAAGUGCGCGCCAGCAACUGUUACGUCGUGGCUUUGCGCUUACCCGUUUUGCGACAGCAGACUACAGCCAGGAAACAGCAACCUUUCUUACCACAAGUUUCCAAUUGACAAUCCCAUCCUCCUGCAAAAAUGGCUUCAAGCCAUGGGUCUGAGAGGCUUUGCUCCAACCAGACGUCAUGCUCUGUGCUCUGCCCACUUCGAGCAAUCUAACUUUUGCGGUGGUCUACAACGACGCCGACUGCGUGAAGGGGCAGUGCCGACUUUGUUUCAACCAAGCAGUGACAACACAAGGGUAGAAGCAUCAGCAGCAACACUUGAAGCUCACUCGAUGUGUUCACCGGAAGGAUGGGCAGCGUUGUAAUCAACCAACACGUUGUGCACAAGAUUUUGGUUGCUCAAUGCUGUGUUGCUCGCAUCUAGGUCUUCUAUGAAGUGCACACUAUGACAUAGUUGCCGGGCCUCAAAUGAGGAAGCGCAUGAAAACACGGACACGAGAAGAAACGAAGACGAAGACAAGCGCUAACUUUCAACAACAAAAUUUAUUUCGUCUGUCUUACUGUGUUUUGCAAGCAAACCAAAAAACUGUGCUUGAUUGUCCUAUUUUCCUUUUGCUACGAUUCCUUCAACUGUCAAUCUUAUGUAAACCCUGGCAACAUUACAAAAAUGAAUGACUACAGCGACACAUAUACACACUGCAUUUAUGUUAAUACUAAUCUCUAAACUAAAAAGUAUAAGGAGUCAAUUUCAUGCGGACAUUAACCAAGUUAAAUUGCAAGGAGCAAUGACAGCACGACACCACCACACACUUCCAGGUUUUGCAAUGCACCAAUUUUAUGAGCAAGGAAUUGGUCAACCUCAUUACUAUAGUGUUUUUCUUUCUUCAUCUGAGCUACAGUAUUUGAAACGCACCAUUUUCUUUUUCAGUUAUCACAUGCAACAUUCUUCCGUCAGUCAAGUGGCACUGCGUUAGUAAACUAGACAGGAAAGUAAGAGCAAUCGCAAGCUGAAAUAUAAAUGAAAGCUGCAAGCUUUCAUAUAAUUAUGAAUGUUGUGCGCCGGAAACGUAUGCUGCAUACCCCCAUAAUCUAACGAACGUAGCUGGUACAGAUUUCUAUGGGCUCGUGUAAAAGCGAGCGUACUUGACACACUACAACGGAACCACAACCGAUCAGACAUCCCACACCUAGAUGCAGUAUCGCGACGCGUUACAAUGAUCGCA